ACCAAGCCGACGACGGGUAGGGGGCCUGAGAGGGUGGUCCCCCACACUGGGACUGAGACACGGCCCAGACUCCUACGGGAGGCAGCAGUGAGGGAUAUUGGUCAAUGGGGGAAACCCUGAACCAGCGACGCCGCGUGGGUGAAGAAGGUCUUCGGAUCGUAAAGCCCUUUUCUGGGUGAAGAGGAAAGGACGGUAGCCCAGGAAGAAGUCUCGGCUAACUACGUGCCAGCAGCCGCGGUAAAACGUAGGAGACAAGCGUUAUCCGGAGUUACUGGGCGUAAAGGGCGUGCAGGCGGUUGCUUAAGUCUGUUGUGAAAGCGCCUGGCUUAACCGGGCGAGGCCAAUGGAGACUGAGCAACUGGAGGACGGCGGAGGGGUGUGGAAUUCCGGGUGUAGUGGUGAAAUGCGUAGAGAUCCGGAGGAACACCAGAGGCGAAGGCGGCACCCUAAGCCGUACCUGACGCUGAGACGCGACAGCACGGGGAGCAAACGGGAUUAGAAACCCCGGUAGUCCGUGCCGUAAACGAUGCCAGCUAGACGUUCGGGUUCCGAGAGGGAUCCGGGUGUCGCAGCCAACGCGAUAAGCUGGCCGCCUGGGGAGUACGGUCGCAAGGCUAAAACUCAAAGGAAUUGACGGGGGUCCGCACAAGCAGCGGAGCGUGUGGUUUAAUUCGAGGCUACACGAAGAACCUUACCUGGGUUUGACAUCACGGUAGUAGCGAAGCGAAAGC
rnacentral:rRNA from 1 species